UAAUUACGGUUCAGAGGCCGAAGGUCUGGC
rnacentral:piRNA from 1 species